UACGUAGGAGACGAGCGUUGUCCGGAGUUACUGGGCGUAAAGGGUGCGCAGGUGGCCGCGCGCGUGGGGGGUGAAAUCGCCUGGCUUAACUGGGCGGGGGCCUUCCAGACGGCGUGGCUUGAGCAGCGGAGGGGGCGUGGAAUUCCGGGUGGAGCGGUGAAAUGCGUAGAGAUCGGGAGGAACACCAGUGGCGAAGGCGGCUACCUGGACCAGCACUGACACUGAGGCACGAAAGCGUGGGGAGCAAACAGG
rnacentral:rRNA from 1 species